AGUGAACGCUGGCGGUAGGCCUAACACAUGCAAGUCGAACGGCAGCACAGUAAGAGCUUGCUCUUACGGGUGGCGAGUGGCGGACGGGUGAGGAAUACAUCGGAAUCUACUUUUUCGUGGGGGAUAACGUAGGGAAACUUACGCUAAUACCGCAUACGGCCUACGGGUGAAAGCAGGGGAUCUUCGGACCUUGCGCGAUUGAAUGAGCCGAUGUCGGAUUAGCUAGUUGGCGGGGUAAAGGCCCACCAAGGCGACGAUCCGUAGCUGGUCUGAGAGGAUGAUCAGCCACACUGGAACUGAGACACGGUCCAGACUCCUACGGGAGGCAGCAGUGGGGAAUAUUGGACAAUGGGCGCAAGCCUGAUCCAGCCAUACCGCGUGGGUGAAGAAGGCCUUCGGGUUGUAAAGCCCUUUUGUUGAGAAAGAAAAGCAGCAGGUUAAUACCCCGCUGUUCUGACGGUACCCAAAGAAUAGGCACCGGCUAACUUCGUG
rnacentral:rRNA from 1 species